UAUGUCCCUAUGCAUCGAGAUGAACAACAUGACAUCCCGUGCAGCAAGUGGUACGAAUCGGAAGAAAUACAUGUUCUCAGUCCACGCGGGGAUGCUACUAAAACAAGACCCAACAACCUUCCAACCAGCAAAACUCAUACCCGAGCUUGAAAGGGCUGUGACAAAGUUCAAGGCGAAUAAAUAUGACCUCCUUUUUUUCACAAUUGUUCAUGAUAAGCACUGGAUAAUUGUUUGCGCAAACUUGCUAUACAAGCAGUGGAAUGUAUUUGACUCAAUCCAUUCAAAAGGAAAACAAUCUCCUUUGA